AGAUUGAACGCUGGCGGAAUGCUUUACACAUGCAAGUCGAACGGCAGCACGGAGAGCUUGCUCUCUGGUGGCGAGUGGCGAACGGGUGAGUAAUAUAUCGGAACGUAUCCAAUAAUGGGGGAUAACGAGUCGAAAGAUUCGCUAAUACCGCAUACGCCCUACGGGGGAAAGCAGGGGAUCGUAAGACCUUGCGUUAAUGGAGCGGCCGAUAUCUGAUUAGCUUGUUGGUGAGGUAAAGGCUCACCAAGGCGACGAUCAGUAGCUGGUUUGAGAGAACGACCAGCCACACUGGAACUGAGACACGGUCCAGACUCCUACGGGAGGCAGCAGUGGGGAAUUUUGGACAAUGGGGGCAACCCUGAUCCAGCCAUUCCGCGUGAGUGAAGAAGGCCUUCGGGUUGUAAAGCUCUUUCGCAAGGGAAGAAAACUUAUGAUCGAAUAAAUCAUGAGGUUGACGGUACCUUGAUAAGAAGCACCGGCUAACUACGUGCCAGCAGCCGCGGUAAUACGUAGGGUGCGAGCGUUAAUCGGAAUUACUGGGCGUAAAGCGUGCGCAGGCGGUUUUGUAAGUCGGAUGUGAAAUCCCCGGGCUCAACCUGGGAACUGCGUUCGAAACUGCAAGGCUAGAGUGUGUCAGAGGGGGGUAGAAUUCCACGUGUAGCA
rnacentral:rRNA from 1 species